rnacentral:rRNA from 1 species
GAGGAAUAUUGGUCAAUGGACGCAAGUCUGAACCAGCCAUGCCGCGUGCAGGAUGAAUGCCCUCUGGGUUGUAAACUGCUUUUAUCAGGGAAUAAACCUCUUUACGUGUAGAGAGCUGAAGGUACUUGAUGAAUAAGCACCGGCUAACUCCGUGCCAGCAGCCGCGGUAAUACGGAGGGUGCAAGCGUUAUCCGGAAUCAUUGGGUUUAAAGGGUCCGCAGGCGGAUUUAUAAGUCAGUGGUGAAAUCUCUCGGCUCAACCGAGAAACUGCCAUUGAAACUGUAAGUCUUGAAUUCGGUCGAAGUGGGCGGAAUAUGACAUGUAGCGGUGAAAUGCAUAGAUAUGUCAUAGAACACCGAUAGCGAAGGCAGCUCACUAGGCCUGGAUUGACGCUCAGGGACGAAAGCGUGGGGAGCAAAC